rnacentral:lncRNA from 1 species
AGAUCAAUCAAAACUGUAACAAAGUCAAACUUCAGCGGAAAAACACGAAACAAAAUUCCCAGUAGUAAAAUUUACAAAAUUAUCACCCAUUGAAACUAAUACAAAACAGGCCAAGCCGUGGCCGCUGUGGCUUGCAGGUCUGGAGCCAUGACGCUGUAGACCAUGGGCGUUCAGAGAGCUUUGCUUCUGCUCCUCGGUGGGAUCCUGUCACUCCUCGGCCUGGUUAACGCGUGCACGAAAAAGGUUUACAUCGCUUGCAGACAACCUGCGCCUUGCAGCAAGUGAUUACGUCCCUGACAAUGGCCAAAUUUGACUUGACCCGGCUGUACACAAUAUUGUUCGCUUUAUUCUCGAUGCUAAUCGUUGGCACCUCGUGCUGCAAGAAGAAGAUCCCUUGUACCGGCCGAGCUCCCUGUAGGCGCGGACCCUACAGGCAUUAGAGAAACCUGCGAAAACCUUAACCAAAACCGCACAAUCAAAGACUAAUAUAAUUCUCAUUUAUACUAAUCGCGUCAAAAUGUAUAGAUUUUUCUCAAAUCUCUGGCUCUCAGAGAGCUGUUGGGACAGCUUCUACUGCUUUAGACAAUUUAGAAAAAUGGAAAGAAUCGGCAGCAACUCCGAUAUGUGGCAAACCCAACAGACUUCCACAGUAGAACCAAACACUUGUAAAGACCCAGAAAGGGAAGAUGGACGCGUGAGUUGAAAUGGCGAAUUACAUAAAAUAACCUAGAAGUAAGCCUACGACACUCCUUCCGCAAGUAUAUGAUGUCCCCCCGUUGGGAGCGCGUGGUGUUCGCCGUCUGUCUGUUGGCCUCGUGGCUGCUGGGCGUGGCCGGCUGCGGCCAGAAGCGCAUCACUUGUAGUCCUACCAACCCGCCUUGCAAGAGAUAAAUAUUGUUCCAUUGUAAGUUGGCGAUGGAUAAAGCGUUCCUCCAAGAGGUGGUGAUACUUCUGGUGACGCUGCUGCUGUCCUACCUGGAGACGUGCCUCGGCUGCGUGAGACACGAGUACACCAACUGUAACGAGAACAGCCCGCGCUGCACCGAGUCUAAGAAAUCGUCUUGACUGAUAGGUAACAUUAAAAAUGGUGCUGUUCAACGAGUUCGUGCUGGUGUUCCUGCACAUCGCGGUGACGAUGUUCAGCAUGACGCAGGGAUGCAAGCGCACGCGCCGCCUCUGUGCGGACGAGUCGUGCCGGCCCUGCCACAGGCCCAAGCCCGAUAUAGGAUACGAGUCUAACAGUGUCAGAGUUAUUGUACCUAAGCAAGCGCAAAACCACUACCUGAAGAGCCACAGUCGUUGACGUGGCCACACUCACGCUUGACCAGAUUCAUACACACAAUGAAGAUGUGCAAUAAGUUGGUGGUGCUGCUCCUGUACUUCAUCUUGUUCCUGGCGAAUGUGCUGUCUUGCUGCCCCAAGGACCAGCCAUUGAUGAAAGACAGCACCUCGGGGUCUGGGUUCUCCAGCUGCAGCAGCAACCAAACUGAAUCCUGUUCCGUAAUCCGGGUGCUUUACUAAAACUCCGAUCCCGUCAGUCACUGGAUAUUUACUUUUCUGUUGUCCCCAGUCAUCCCCGUUAUGCGCAUGAAGUUCGGCAAGGUGAUGGUCGUCUUGCUGCAGCUAUGCGCGGUGCUCAUGCGCGUCGUCGGCUGCAAGCGGCGCGCGCGCAGGCCUCCGAGCCAGUGUCUACCCUGCACAUACAGGGGACCUAUCAUUGAAGUUAUUUAUCCUAAACCGAAGAAAAUAGUGAAAUGAAGGUCUUCUAAGAAAUUAUGUGCAUGCGCGUACGCCUAACACUAGUAUGGUUGUUGGCGCUGCCGCUGUGCGCGGUGAUGCUGCGCGCGGCCGCCUGCCGUCGACGACGCUGUCCGCCCGACUGUCUGCCCUGCAGCUACAGGAAACCCAUCAUCGAAGUUAUUUAUCCUAAACCGCCAAAUAAACGCGUUUUGGAGAAACAUUGAAAUUGAUGGUUUGUACGAUUCAAAUAAUUUAUGUUCACAUUUUUAUUUAAUUACUUAAUUUAAUGUUCAUUUUAUUAUUAUGUAACUUAAAUAUACCUAUGUUUUUCAUAA